rnacentral:miRNA from 1 species
GAACUCAUUAACCGGAAGGGAUUCCUUCCGGUUGAUGAGGAAGAUUUCCCUCAUUGACCAGAAGGAAUCCCUUCCCGUUGAUGAGGUU